AACAGGAUUAGAUACCCUGGUAGUCCACGCUGUAAACGGUGGGUACUAGGUGUGGGGUCCAUUCCACGGGUUCCGUGCCGUAGCUAACGCUUUAAGUACCCCGCCUGGGGAGUACGGCCGCAAGGCUAAAACUCAAAGGAAUUGACGGGGCCCCACACAAGCGGCGGAGCAUGCGGAUUAAUUCGAUGCAACGCGUAGAACCUUACCUGGGUUUGACAUGGAUCGGGAGUGCUCAGAGAUGGGUGUGCCUCUUUUGGGGUCGGUUCACAGGUGGUGCAUGGCUGUCGUCAGCUCGUGUCGUGAGAUGUUGGGUUAAGUCCCGCAACGAGCGCAACCCUUGUUCACUGUUGCCAGCACGUUAUGGUGGGGACUCAGUGGAGACCGCCGGGGUCAACUCGGAGGAAGGUGGGGAUGACGUCAAGUCAUCAUGCCCCUUAUGUCCAGGGCUUCACGCAUGCUACAAUGGCUGGUACAGAGAGUGGCGAGCCUGUGAGGGUGAGCGAAUCUCGGAAAGCCGGUCUCAGUUCGGAUUGGGGUCUGCAACUCGACCUCAUGAAGUCGGAGUCGCUAGUAAUCGCAGAUCAGCAACGCUGCGGUGAAUACGUUCCCGGGGCUUGUACACACCGCCCGUCAAGUCAUGAAAGUUGGUAACACCCGAAGCCGGUGGCCUAACCGUUGUGGGGGAGCCGUCGAAGGUGGGACUGGUGAUUAGGACUAAGUCGUAACAAGGUAAC
rnacentral:rRNA from 1 species